UACGUAGGGUCCGAGCGUUGUCCGGAAUUACUGGGCGUAAAGCGCGCGUAGGCGGCUCGCGGGGUGUCACGUGAAAGCCCCGGGCUCAACCCGGGAGGGUCGUGGCAAACCGGCGGGCUUGAGGCCGGUAGAGGUGGGUGGAACUCCUGGUGGAGUGGUGAAAUGCGUAGAGAUCAGGAAGAACACCCGUGGCGAAGGCGGCCCACUGGGCCGGUACUGACGCUGAGGCGCGAAGGCGUGGGGAGCGAACGGG
rnacentral:rRNA from 1 species